rnacentral:rRNA from 1 species
AGUGAACGCUGGCGGCGUGCCUAAUACAUGCAAGUCGAACGAAGUGGCGCACGGGCGAGUAAUAUAUAGUUAAUCUGCCCUACACAGAGGAACAACAGUUGGAAACGGCUGCUAAUACUUCAUAGUGUUGGAUGAGACUAUAUCGUAUCAGCUAGUUGGUAAGGUAAUGGCUUACCAAGGCUAUGACGCGUAACUGGUCUUAGAGGAUGAUCAGUCACAUUGUAACUGAGACACGGUCCAAACACCUAGGGGAGGCAGCAGUAAGGAAUAUUGCGCAAUGGGGGAGACCCUAGCGCAGCAUCGCCGCGUAGAGGAUGACACUUGUCGGAGCGUAAACUCCUUUUAUCAGGAAAGCGGUACCUGAUGAAUAAGCACCGGCUAACUCCGUGCCAGCAGCCGCGGUAAUAC